rnacentral:sRNA from 1 species
AGAAGGUCAGUGUGCUUGCUUGGAGAUCAGGACGCAAAGGUCACCAUCAGAAAAGCUAAGUUUGCUGUAUAGUGAGGAUCAGGAGAUCUGAUCCUGAUUGCAGAAUCUUCCCUGAUUACAGAAUCUUGGGUAAGUGCCUCCUUCUGGCCUCAGUUCUCAAACAGGAUAAUACCACAUAACCUUCCUAACUGUCCAGGAAUAUUUUGAAAAUUAAUAAGCUCCUAUCUGGGAAAGUAGUCUAAAUUCUGAGAAGGGAAGGAUGGAGCUAAGUCCAUUGGUAGUUCCAGUAUAGAAAGUGCAUAAGCAACAGAGGGCUUUGUAAUCU